ACUACGGGUGGCAGCAGUGAGGAAUAUUGGUCAAUGGCCGUAAGGCUGAACCAGCCAAGUCGCGUGAAGGAAGAAGGAUCUAUGGUUUGUAAACUUCUUUUAUAGGGGAAUAAAGGUAUCCACGUGUGGAUAUUUGCAUGUACCCUAUGAAUAAGCAUCGGCUAACUCCGUGCCAGCAGCCGCGGUAGUACGGAGGAUGCGAGCGUUAUCCGGAUUUCUUGGGUUUAAAGGGUGCGUAGGUUGUUUUUUAAGUCAGCGGUGAAAGUCUGUGGCUCACCCAUAAAAUUGCCGUUGAAACUGGAAGCCUUGAUUGUGUUUGCGGUAGGCGGAUUGCGUGUUGUAGCGGUGAAAUGCAUAGAUAUCACGCAGAACUCCGAUUGCGAAGGCAGCUUACUAAGCCAUAACUGACACUGAAGCACGAAAGCGUGGUGAUCAAACAGGAUUAGAUACCCUAGUAGUC
rnacentral:rRNA from 1 species